GACAUAGAACAUAAAGUCUCCUUCAGAUAUUAUAUACUGUAACGGUUUGGAACUUACUGGUCACUUGAAAUGUGGCCUGUGAUCUCAUUAUUUUAAAUGGAUGGAACUUGAGAAUCUCAUCCUGAGUGAGAUAACCCAGAGCCAGAAGGACACGCAUGGGGUGUGAUUUUGCCAGCUGAAGGCAGUUUACAUUCGGAGUUCCGCGGACUCUUCAGAGGCUGUAAAAAUGCCGGAGUCACGAAAGCCUGCAAAGAGCUGUUGCUUGCCUUGCUGCUGCUGCUGCUACUGCCGUCCCUGCCCGUGCUGCAGCUGCUACUCCUGCUGCUGCUGCUGCUGCUUGUUGCUGAUUGUUGCGGUUGCUGGUUGCUGUUUACUGUUUGCUGCCGGCUGGAUUGCUGGAUUGCUGAUUGCCAGUCGGCGAAAUCCUGGCGAUGAAGAUCCAACUUGCCCCAAGAAACAAGACGACCCUAAGAAGUAGUCUAAUGAUUUCAAUACGCCCUUUCCCCCUCUGACCUUUCUCUCUUACCUUAUGCUGGGGGAUUGGAAGGGUGGCAGAAAAAAGAACCCAAUAAAGUAGCCAAAAGUAAAGUUACUUUGUGGCUUAUUAUUCUUGUUCUUUCAGUGUCUUUCUAAAACUAAUCUAUACAUUUUAUUUGUUCCCUUCACUCUUUCCUUCUUUGAGACCUAAUACUUGGGUGUUAAGCAAAGAAUAGUGAGGGUUUUUUUUCUAGAUUGUUUUUAUUCUGAUAUGAAAGAUGCUAUGUAUAAUUAAAAGCAAACUUUAUUGAGAGUAGGGACUCAAAUUGCCCAGAGAAAGGAGUUUCUCCAUUAGCACAGAAUAAACUUCUUUCAUCUAUGGUUUGUGGGUCAUGC
ensembl:processed_transcript RIKEN cDNA 2010204K13 gene